AAUCAGUAGUCUUUUAAUUGAAGGCUGGUAUGAAUGGUUGGAUGAGGUAUUAACUGUUUCAUUUAAAUUUGAAUUAGAAUUUUAUUUUUUAGUUAAAAAGCUGAAAUGAAAUUAAAAGACGAGAAGACCCUAUAAAUCUUUAUUCUUACGGUAGUUUAUUUAUUUAGAAGAAUUUUGGUAUAAUAUUGUUAAGUAUUUUAUUGGGGUGAUAUUAAAAUUUAAUAAACUUUUAAUUUUGUUAUUACAUUGAUUUAUGAAUAAAUGAUCCAUUUUUAUUGAUUAUAAAUUUAAGUUACUUUAGGGAUAACAGCGUAAUUUUUUUGGAGAGUUCUAAUCGAUAAAAAAGAUUGCGACCUC
rnacentral:rRNA from 1 species